rnacentral:rRNA from 1 species
UACUACCGAAGCUACGGAAUCAGUAAGGAUGGGUAGGUUAGCUUCACAUACCGGUAGAAGCAUGACCGGAAGGACAUGUGGACAGUAUAGGAGUGGGAAUGUUGGCCUGAGUAGCGAGAUGUGGGUGGGAAUGCCACAGGGCGUAAACCCAAGGGUUCCAGGGGAAGUAUCGUCCGCCCUGGGGUAGUCGGGACCUAAGCGGAGGCCGAAAGGCGUAGGUGAU